UACAGAGACUGCAAGCGUUAUUCGGAUUCACUGGGCGUAAAGGGUGCGCAGGUGGCCAAGUGUGUUAGGCGUGAAAGCCCGGGGCUUAACCCCGGAAUUGCACCUAAAACUACUUGGCUAGAGCAUUGGAGAGGGGAGCAGAAUUCAUGGUGUAGCAGUGAAAUGCGUAGAUAUCGGGAGGAACACCAGUGGCGAAGGCGGAGACCUGGGCCAAUACUGACGCUGAGGUGCGAAAGCGUGGGGAGCAAACAGG
rnacentral:rRNA from 1 species